GUAUAAGAGACAGCAGUAGCCACGGGAAUACGAAGGGUGCAAGCGUUAAUCGGAAUUACUGGGCGUAAAGCGUGCGUAGGCGGCUUUUUAAGUCGGAUGUGAAAUCCCUGAGCUUAACUUAGGAAUUGCAUUCGAUACUGGGAAGCUAGAGUAUGGGAGAGGAUGGUAGAAUUCCAGGUGUAGCGGUGAAAUGCGUAGAGAUCUGGAGGAAUACCGAUGGCGAAGGCAGCCAUCUGGCCUAAUACUGACGCUGAGGUACGAAAGCAUGGGGAGCAAACAGGAUUAGAUACCCCAGUAGUCCCUGUCUCUUAUAC
rnacentral:rRNA from 1 species